rnacentral:rRNA from 1 species
AAGAUGAAAAGCACUUUUGGAAAGAGAGUCAAACAGUUCGUGAAAUUGUUGAAAGGGAAGCGCUUGCAAUCAGACUUGCCUGCGGGUGAUCAGCCGGUAUUCUUACCGGUGCACUCGGCCGUGGUCAAGCCAGCAUUGGUUCGGGCGGCUGGAUAAAGUCCACUGGAAUGUAGCUCCUCUCGGGGAGUGUUAUAGCCAGAGGUGCCAUGCAGCCCGCCCGGACCGAGGACCGCGCUUCGGCUAGGAUGCUGGCGUAAUGGUCGUAAGCGACCCGUCUUGAAACACGGACCAAGGAGUCUAACAUAUAUGCGAGUGUUUGGGUGUCAAACCCAUGCGCGUAAUGAAAGUGAACGGAGGUGGGAACCCUCAAGGGUGCACCAUCGACCGAUCCUGAUGUCUUCGGAUGGAUUUGAGUAAGAGCAUAGCUGUUGGGACCCGAAAGAUGGUGAACUAUGCCUGAAUAGGGUGAAGCCAGAGGAAACUCUGGUGGAGGCUCGCAGCGGUUCUGACGUGCAAAUCGAUCGUCAAAUUUGGGUAUAGGGGCGAAAGACUAAUCGAACCAUCUGCUACUAGAUGGCAUACGGGCCCGCGCGCCCCGGUAGUCCCCGCUCGACGGGGGCGACAUCGUCGGUCUCCCUCUGGGCCACCCGCAGUGAGCCUCGGGGCUCAUGGCGGUGGCCGUGCCCUGGAUCACGGUUAGGAUAUAGCCGA